UACGUAGGGUGCGAGCGUUAAUCGGAAUUACUGGGCGUAAAGCGUGCGCAGGCGGUUCUCCAAGUCCGGUGUGAAAGCCCCGGGCUCAACCUGGGAAUGGCAGUGGAAACUAGGGGACUGGAAUCUGGCAGAGGGGGGUGGAAUGCCGCGUGUAGCAGUGAGAUGCGUAGAGAUGCGGCGGAACACCGAUGGCGAAGGCAGCCCCCUGGGCUGAGAUUGACGCUCAGGCACGAAAGCGUGGGGAGCAAACAGG
rnacentral:rRNA from 1 species